CCUACGGGAGGCAGCAGUGGGGAAUAUUGCACAAUGGGGGAAACCCUGAUGCAGCGACGCCGCGUGAGUGAAGAAGUCCUUCGUUAUGUAAAGCUCUAUCAGCAGGGAAGAAAAUGACGGUACCUGCGUAAUAAUCCCCGGCUAACUACGUGCCAGCAGCCGCGGUAAUACGUAGGGGGCAGGCGUUAUCCGGAUUUACUGGGUGUAAAGGGAGCGUAGGUGGCAAGGCAAGUCAGAUGUGAAACCCCGGGGCCCAACCCCGGGAGUGCAUUUGAAACUGUCUGGCUAGAGUGCAGGAGAGGUAAGUGGAAUUCCUAGUGUAGCGGUGAAAUGCAUAGAUAUCAGGAGGAACACCAGUGGCGAAGGCGGCUUACUGGACUGUAACUGACACUGAGGCUCGAAAGCGUGGGGAGCAAACAGGAUUAGAUACCCGAGUAGUC
rnacentral:rRNA from 1 species